rnacentral:rRNA from 1 species
GGGUGCGAUCAUAUCAGCACAAAUACACCGAAUCCUAUUAGAACUCUGCCGGUAAGUGUGCUUGGGCGAGAGUAGUACUAGGAUUGGUGACCUACUGGGAAGUCCUCGUGUUGCAUUCC